CUCUUCUUGGGUUUAUUUUUUGAAGUAUGACCUGCCCGCUGAGUAUUUGAAGGGCCGCGGUAUUUUGACCGUGCAAAGGUAGCAUAAUCAUUAGUUCUUUAAUUGUGGACUGGUAUGAAUGGUUUGACGAGGUACUAACUGUCUUUAUUAGGAUUUAUAGUUGAAUUUGGGUUUUGGGUAAAAAUACCUAAAUGUUGUUAUGGGACGAGAAGACCCUAUAGAGUUUUAUAUAAUUUUGGUUUGAUGUUGUUUGUUUAAUAAUUUGUUUACUUUAUUUUAUUUUGUUGGGGUGAUGGGAGGAUACUUUUAACUCUUCCUUAUUUUUUUAUACUUGUUUGUAUGUUUUUGAUCCUGUAUUAUUGAUUUUAAGAUUAAAUUACCUUAGGGAUAACAGCGUAAUCUUUUCUGAGAGUUCUUAUUGACGAAAGGGGUUGCGACCUCGAUGUUGGAUUAAGAUGAAUUUUUGGUGUAGAAGCUUUAAUAAUUUAUAUUAGGUCUGUUCGACCUUUAAAAUCUU
rnacentral:rRNA from 1 species